CAGGUUUGUCUUUAUCACUCUAAAUUUGCGUAGAUUCUCUGGGACUGUCACUACAUAAUUACACACACUUAGGCACGUUGUUUGAAAUUAACCCUGAGCCUUUCUAGCCAUCCUAAAUAAUUAUAUCUCGUGUAAACCCCAUUUGAGCCUGUAUCCAUUUGUUUGUUUAAACCCCAUAAAUGUACCCCUUGUCCAAAAAAAUUCCUUACCCUGUUCAGAGUCAUGUUAAUACAUUUAAAUUGUGUUGAAAAGAUAAGUUUGGAGUAAAAAACCCCAAGAGCUCCCAAAGCCAAGAAAGUGCGGAAAAAAGAAAAAAAAAGUGAAAUAGGAAAUCAUCGUGAGAAAAGAAAAAAAAAGAAAAAAAAAGUAUAACUCGAAGAUUCA
rnacentral:lncRNA from 1 species